AUGUCAGCUGGUGGAACAAUUAUGAACAAGACCGUUGAGGAUGCAAUUAUUCUCAUUGAGAGCAUUGGCUUCCACCAAAUGCAAUGGGGUUAUGAAAGGCCUAGUUCAAAUCCGAAGGUUGCAAGCCGUCUGCAAUCAGAAGCUGUGUGUUCCAUAAGUGAACAGAAAUCAUCCAUGGUGCCUAAUAUUCAAAACCAGCAUGUUUCAUUCCGGGGACAACAACAUUUCAGAACUGAAUUAGAUCCUCCAUAUAGAAAGAUUGAUCUUACUUCAAUUAUCCUUGAUGAUGAUUAUGAUAUUUUUCAAGAUGAUGCAACCAUUGUAGAUCAGAUGGAAACCAUAGUAGCAGAUCCAAUACCUCAUGGCAAUGAAACUGUCCAAAAUGAGUCAAAGUUGCAAGAUGUUUAUGAGGAACCUACUCUGAUUGAUGCUAAGUUGAGACAACAAGAUAUGGAGAAAUUCACUUGUGUUAGUCAACUAUGUGACUGGUGGAAUUUAGUCGUGUCACCAAUUGCCCACACUUGUGUUACAACUGUAUCUGGGCUAUUUGUCAAGAAGAAAUCAUUAGCUCCACCGGUGGUUGCCUCUAUCACAGUUAAAGAGAGUAUCUCAGAGAAGAAUAGUGAAGAUGAGAUUCCAACUCCUGCACAUACAACUAAGCAAGUCGGAGACAUUCCAAGGAGAGAGAUACAAGAGGAUGAGUCAAAUUUAGAAGAGUUGAUACUUCAAUGUCCUGAGAAGAUCCCACGUGUUGCUGAGCUGCAUGACUGGUGGAAGUCAUCAGUGUCACUGUUGAAACUUAGCAGUGAUGGUGAUGAGGAGAACAUUGCUCAGAAAGACAGCGAGGUAGUGAUCUCAGCACCCCUACCAGAACAUGUUAGUGCAUAUUCACAGAUGGGGACACUUCAGACUCAAUUAGGUGUUGCUGGUAGUAGCACCAUAGAAUAUCCACAGGAAGAGAGACCUCAACUUGAAGAAGAUUUACAAGUAGACGAGGAACAAGAUGACGAAGAGCUUGACUACCCAAGCGAUGAAGUUGAAGACAUAAUCUCUAUCUCUCCUAAAGAAGUACAAGAAGCUGCUGUAGAUGAACUUGAAGAACCAGAAAUGCAUUUGCCCAUCGUCAUACAAGAGCGUGAUGUAGCAGGUUUAUCUAAUCCUCUCGACGACAUGUGUCCUUACGAUUUCUUUGCUUCUACCUUCCAUUACAUGAUACCAUCACUUAAGCUAGACUUGAAAAACGGUUUGCUUGGACAUGAUCAUACAUACCCUGUUAUUGGCAUUUCUCUCAUUUAUGAUGACACUUAUUCUCCUCAUGCUAGACCUAUGCUUAAUGAUAAAUAUCAUCCUUAUGCUAGCAUUGAGCUUACUGAUUUCUACCAUCCUAAACAUGUGCUUUAUAGCUAUGCUUAUGUAAUUGGAUAUUCGAUUGAUGACUUGGAGGGUAUUAUCCCUACCACCUGCAUUGUCUCUUUUGUUGAGAGUUCUUUCAGGUUUUUGCUUGUGCACGAUCCACUACAGGCUGACAAGGUUCGAGGUGACAUUCCUUGGGACCCUGGUGGACUCAGAGCAUGGUGA
rnacentral:rRNA from 1 species